GAUGAACGCUGGCGGCGUGCCUAAUACAUGCAAGUCGAGCGAACGGACGAGAAUCUUGCUUCUCUGAUGUUAGCGGCGGACGGGUGAGUAACACGUGGAUAACCUACCUAUAAGACUGGGAUAACUUCGGGAAACCGGAGCUAAUACCGGAUAAUAUUUUGAACCGCAUGGUUCCAAAGUGAAAGACGGUCUUGCUGUCACUUAUAGAUGGAUCCGCGCUGCAUUAGCUAGUUGGUAAGGUAACGGCUUACCAAGGCAACGAUGCAUAGCCGACCUGAGAGAGGGAUCGGCCACACUAGAACUGAGACACGGUCCAGACUACUACGGGAGGCAGCAGUAGGGAAUCUUCCGCAAUGGGCGAAAGCCUGACGGAGCAACGCCGAGUGAGUGAUGAAGGUCUUCGGAGCGUAAAACUCUGUUAUUAGGGAAGAACAUAUGCGUAAGUAACUGUGCACAGCUUGACGGUACCUAAUCAGAAAGCCACGGCUAACUACGUG
rnacentral:rRNA from 1 species